rnacentral:rRNA from 1 species
UGCCUGGCGGCACUAGCGCGGUGGUCCCACCUGACCCCAUGCCGAACUCAGAAGUGAAACGCCGUAGCGCCGAUGGUAGUGUGGGGUCUCCCCACGCGAGAGUAGGGAACUGCCAGGCAU